rnacentral:misc_RNA from 1 species
GAUGAAGAACGUAGCGAAAUGCGAUACGUAAUGUGAAUUGCAGAAUUCAGUGAAUCAUCGAAUCUUUGAACGCACAUUGCGCUCUCUGGUAUUCCGGAGAGCAUGCUUGUUUGAGUAUCAGUAAACACCUCAACUCCUUUAUUGUAGUUGGACUUGAGCUAUCCCAACAGGACUUUUUGUUCCUGGCGGGAGGCUUGAAAUGCAGGUGCAGCUGGACUUUCUUCUGAGCUAUAAGCAUAUUUAUUUAAUCCCUUAACACGGAUUAUUACUUUUUUGCUGCAGCUAACAUAAAGGUUGAAUUUCCAUUGAGCUGACUGAUGCAGGAAUUUGGCAAGGAAUUUUUUUAAUGACUUGUUAAACUCGAUCUCAAAUCAAGUAAGACUACCCGCUGAACUUAAGCAUAUCAUAAGCGGAGGA